rnacentral:lncRNA from 1 species
AUAGAAUUAUACUGAAUAUCGUAACGGAUAAUCCACUUUCUCUAUAGCCAGUUCGGUUUAUUCCACAUAUUAAUAGAAAUCCACAUACAUUGAUAAAUAAUCCCAUUGCUGUGCGGAUCAUUAAAACUUUCAACUUCUUCUCUUUAAUUUCAUCCUUUGGAGACUUUAGGAUUUCAUAUAACGAAAGAAGAAUGGCACACGAAAUAUCCAAAAAAUCCUCAGAAAAACACAUCUUAAAAUAAAGUCGUGACAGCUUUGAGGUAG